GGCUCCGUAGCUCAACUGAAUAGAGCACUUGACUACGGAUCAAGAGGUUGUGGGUUUGAAUCCCGCCGGAGUCACCA
rnacentral:tRNA from 1 species